rnacentral:rRNA from 1 species
AGUGAACGCUGGCGGUAGGCCUAACACAUGCAAGUCGAACGGCAGCACAGUAAGAGCUUGCUCUUACGGGUGUCGAUUGCCGGACGGGUGAGGACUACUUCGUAAUCUACUUUUUCGUGGUGGAUAACGUCGUGAAACUUACGCUAAUACCGCAUACUCCCUACGGGUGAAAUCAGGGGAUCUUCGGACCUUGCGCUACUGAAUGAGCCGAUGUCGGAUUAGCUGGUUGGCGGGGUAAAGUCCCACCAAGCCGACGAUCCGUAGCAGGUCUGAGAGGAUGAUCAGCCACACUAGAACGGAGAAGAGGUCCAGAAUCCUACGGGAGGCAGCAGUGGGGAAUAUUGGACAAUGGGGGCAAGAAUGAUCAAGCAAUACCGCGUGGGGGAAGAAGGCGGUCGGGUGGUAAAGACCUUUUGUUGGGAAAGAAAAGCAGCAGGUUAAUACCCCGCUGGUCUGACGGUAUCCAAAGAAGAAGCACCGGCUAACUUCGUG